UACGGGGGGAGCAAGCGUUGUUCGGAUUUACUGGGCGUAAAGGGCGCGUAGGCGGUCGUGACAAGUCACUUGUGAAAUCUCCGGGCUUAACUCGGAAAGGUCAACUGAUACUGCGGGGCUAGAGUGCGGAAGGGGCAACUGGAAUUCUCGGUGUAGCGGUGAAAUGCGUAGAUAUCGAGAGGAACACCCGCGGCGAAGGCGGGUUGCUGGGCCGACACUGACGCUGAUGCGCGAAAGCCAGGGGAGCGAACGGG
rnacentral:rRNA from 1 species